ACUGCGUAGAAGAUCACCGGAACACUUUUUCCGAUUUCAAACAUAAAAUGCCUUCGAGAUUUCGGUAAUCAAGUCAAAACUGCUGCAGCAGAAGGUAGGGCGAGCGGUGAUGUUAUACCAUGAGGCCGGCCUAUGAGAUGUGGUAGCGAGAAUGGUUGGUGUCAGUCUGCACAAGGACGAGGACUCAGUGCUAAGUUUGAACAGGAAAGACUACGACGAAAUUGCGUACAAAGUUUUCAUACUUAGAUACCAACUUCAUUUGAAUGAGAAAUAUAGUGGCGAUCCAAUUGCAUAUCCUAAUGCAAGCAAAAGUAACUUAUGAUGCACUGUGUAACGUAAUGAUGGACUCUGAUCCAAUCGUGCAAUCAUGGCGGCACGCAUCAAACUAGAUGGAUGCUGGUCUUGAAGGCAAGCAGAUGAUAGAAUGACCAAUUGCAUUCCCCGCGCGACAUCAUUCCAUCGAUGUAACAAGUCCCCUGUCCUACUUCUCCAACCCACGGGCCAAGGCCGCCAUGGAGACGAAAGUUAACUGUGGAUCAAGGGCACUAAUAUAUAGGGAUGAAUACGUGUAACAGUUUUAAAUGCCCAAGGAUAGAGUGUUCCGGGAAAGAAUGAUUGAUUUGCGCUUGAAGGUCAAGAGUCUCAGUAGACCCAUACCUUAGCCUGACAACAAUGAAUUUGGAAGGACACUUUUUCCAGAUGAACAUUCAAAAAUGCUACACCGGUACGAGAGUCUGCUGUCACCGGAGUUAGAGCCUGCUGAACAAUCUUUUGUAGAACAUCUCUCAAAAAUGUUUGUAUAUCGACAGAUCAAGAUACCAUUGUGUCAGUAAGAUGAACAUUUGAAUUUGACCUGAACAUAUCAUAUAAAGAAUGGAAAGUUUCACAAAUGAGGUUGUUGUUUGUACAUUUUAUCAUAAGGCCCCGUUCAUGAUCCAUGACAACAUUUGACAAUGGAGACAAUUUUCAUUUGAGAUUGAACAUCCUCGUCGACCAUUGCGACAUUUGCGGUCGGGUUCACAUACGAUUCACAUUGUGACGAUGUCGUCUUUCUCAUGUCACUGGCCUAAUAUAAUCCUACAAGGUGGCGCAUUAUCGCCCACUGCUGGGACUUUGUCUUGGCACGAUCUUCACUUUGGAAUAAACUGAU